UACGUAGGGGGCAAGCGUUGUCCGGAUUUAUUGGGCGUAAAGAGCGUGUAGGCGGCUUUACAGGUCCGUUGUGAAAACUCGAGGCUCAACCUCGAGACGCCGGUGGAAACCGUAAAGCUAGAGUCCGGAAGAGGAGAGUGGAAUUCCUGGUGUAGCGGUGAAAUGCGCAGAUAUCAGGAGGAACACCCGUGGCGAAGGCGGCUCUCUGGAACGCAACUGACGCUGAGACGCGAAAGCGUGGGGAGCAAACAGG
rnacentral:rRNA from 1 species